AGUGAGUAUACCGAACAAAGAAACAACGGAUAACAGUUUUACUGACGUUGACGUAGUUGAACGGUGUGCGAAAAUGGCUUUAUCGAAAUUACAAGUAUCGUUUUUGUUGUGCGGCCUGGCACUGUUAUCCUGCUGUUUCGUUAACGUGAGUAUAACAAUUUACGUAAUUCCUGACUAUUCAGAUCCGUUUUUUGAUGGCAAUACGAUUUUAGAAUAAUCAAUAGAAAACAAAAAAUCCCGUACUGUUUAGAUAAUAAAUAUGUAUCAAAUUCUGUACAAAUAUAAACUUAAAAUACUACGCAUUGCAUAAGCAAUGAAAAACUUAAAGGAACCUAUAGAUACAAUGAAAUUUAAAAAUUCAUUCAGCAUACAUUUUGAGUAUUUAUUUUAUUUUAUUAACUCCUCAAUAUUUCACUUAUUGGCACUCAUGUCACGCUAUACUCGAAUUUUGUUUCAUCUCUAAGUGCAACUUACGAUGAACCUACUGUUAAAUUGUUGAACAUUUUUACUGGGCCAAAAGAAAGGUACUAACAUAAUGAUCCUAUUUAUAUCACUGUUUUCAAAAUUCUAUAAUUUUUACGAUUUUCAUUAAAAUUUUAAAUAUCAAAGAACAUCAAAAAUGACUUCCUCGACGCACCAACUAGAAAUAACAAGGUAUGUGUGAUGCAAAUAAUUUAGAGCUUUCUUACUAACCAAAAGAGGGUUUACAAAACCAGAGUUUUCUGAGAAUAAAUUCUGAAAAGAGAACAUAGAACUGGGGGAGAGGGGACGGGCAACUGUUAAAAAAGCAUACUUCAAUUUUCUUCAGUUAUACCUAACCUGACAAUAAGAAUUUUAAAGUUAGUUUCAAAAAGGGCAGUUUUUUCAAUAAAUCAAUCAAUUGAUAUAAUAAUAUUGGUUUAAUUGGAACCAUUGCGAUAGCAUUACUCUUCUCUGGCCGACGCUCAUCGCUAUCAGGAUAAUAAAAACGGUUGUACGACGAUGAAAAACAUUUGACAAUUUUCCCAUUUUUAUCGGUUUUUCAAAUUUGACGAGAAAACUCUUUAGAAAAUCGAAUAACGACAUGUCUAAAGUACCUCCCUAGUAAAAUUUUCUUUUUGAAAUUAUUUUAUCAUUGAAUUCGUAGCAAAAUUAUUGGUAGAAACGUUGUGCACAGAAAAAAAGAAGACCGCAAUAUAUUUUAACUAAUAAUUUUAUUUCUUAUAUUUUCCCAUUCUUUUUCGGUUUUUCAAAUUUGAUGAGAAAACUCCUGAGAAAAUCGUAAAAUGACGUCUAUAACUACAUCUAUAAUAGCCGCGACAAAAACAGAAAGUGAAUAUAUUUUAUUGAAAACGAGUAUUGAAUGACUAUUUGGAAAUAAAAUGUAUUCGAGGAUAAGAAUAAAUAUUCCUAUAUAUUGCACCAAAGUAUUACAUUAUCUUCCUAAUAAGUAAUUUGAUUUGACAAUACUCUAAUACUUUCAUAUCUAGUUUCGCAUAAAUAAUAUUCAUAAAAUAUGUAACGUAAGUAAGGUACUCAUAAACUUUAUUGAAUUCAUCACUGGGAUUUUCAAUUAGUAAAUCACCUAUAGUUUUGUUGGUAGCCUCAAAAUUAUCACCCACUGAAUGGGCGACUCCCAAUUAUCACUACAAAACGUGAAAGUGUUUGAAUACUCAAUUUAAAAAAGUAAGCGGUAGUUCAUUUUCCAAUAAAAUACGAUCGAUAAAUAAUUAUAUUAUUUGUUUUUCAGAACGGGAUGUUGUAGAGACGGUUUUAUUAUUACGUAUUAUGGAGAAGCGGACGGAAUCAAAGGAAAACCGAAUCCAAGUUUAACGAUUUUACUUACCUAUUCGAUUGCUGUUAAGUUUUAAUUAUAGGAUGUUACGAUAAAUUAUUAUCAACAUGAUUUUCUCCUGUUAAUUAGCACGCCUGUCGUUAUGAUAUUUUUAAAUCAUCCGAAGC